AGGAUACGUCGCAGACGUGGUUCAGAUCUGGUGCUGCCAUGGCUGUGGUGUAGUCUAGC
rnacentral:precursor_RNA from 1 species